UGAAUCGGUAAUGAGUUUGUCAUUCACAAAAACGGAAAGGAAUUUCCGCUCCGGAUAAGCCGAGUGCAAACAAGCGGCGGCCGCGGCGCGGCGGGCGGAGGCCGCGGGGGCAGGUGAGGGGGCGAGGCUCUGCCCCUGCUCCCAGCAAGGCCGCCCCGGGGGGGCACCCUCCUGCCCCUCUUGCUCCCCCUCAGCGCCUUUUCUCCGAGCCCCCAGCCUGCGGGGAGCCGGCCGCGUGUCCCCCCAUUAUCCCCCAUCGCCCCCACCACCACCCCCAGCCUGGCUCUCCCCUAGGAAGUGGGGGGGGGCAGCCCUGUCCUCAGCUGAUCCCCACGGGAUCCCCGCCCCCGUUAACCCCGCAGCCCCCCCCCAGACACACACACCCACAGACACGCACACACACACACAGACACACACACGUCCCCGGGUGGAGCCCCCCCCGCCGCCACCCGUCCCCCCCCGCUGUCCCCGCGGCGGGCGGAAGGAGGCUGCGGCCCCGCAGCGGGGGGGCUGCGGGAACGGGGCCCGGCGGAGCGGCGCCGGGGGAGCCGGGGCCGGAGGGGGGGCGGGAGGAGCGGCGCCGGGGGCGGCGGAGCGGGGAGCGGGGGCGGCCGGAGGCCGGGCGGGGCGGCUGCGAGGUGCGGCUUUAGCGCACGGCUGAGCGAAAAGCCAGGAGCGAAAAUAAACCGGGAGAAGCCUCGAGGCUAAUCCCGCUGCUGGCGGCGUCUGCCCCGGAGGAAAAUCGUUCCGGUGAGGCCGGUCCCGCCGCUGCUGCGCUGCCGGGCGGUUAUUUUUAACCCCGGCUGGAGGAGGCUCCUCAGGUAGCGAGCGGCUGCCGAGCAGCCCCGCGUCCCCCCGCAGAAGCCCCCAGUGAUGCUGAGGGAGCUGGCACAGCACCCGCCGCAGGGUCCGGACAGGCUGACACCCAGGUGGCACCAGCGACAGCCGCCCCAGCAGGGACUUGGACAGGAUCCUCGAUUGCUGCUUGUUUCGAAGGCUUGUGAGCAGGGCUUCAGCGUUACAUAAAUUCUGCGCUGCCCCUACACGGGAGAAUUUGGCCAGUGUGAGACACAGGACACUCACACCCCACCUGCUUUGUCCCACGAAUUGUCGGGGCCACCGUGCCCACCACGGCCCUGACCGCUCUCCUUAAAGGGUUUCCAGGCCGGUGCUGCCAGGUGCUUCCCCUGCUCGGCUCUGUAUUUCAAGGCACACUAUCUAAACGUUCAGAAUCGUGACAGAUCAAAGCAGGAGCCUUCGUGUAUUUUAUUAUGAUUUUGAUUUUUUUCCCCUCUGCUAUAUUUAAGCCUUUUGUUCUCACCCAGGCCAGGGCUCAGGCAGGUCAGCAAACUUCGGAGCUGGCACCAUCGGUUUCUUUUCAUCAGUAUGGCAAAUAGCACAGUCCCAUGCUAAAUAAAUAAUCGGAUCAUAAUUUAAGUCCUACUUUUUUUCCCUUGAAAUUGAUACUGUGAUUAUUCUUUAUUUUUAUUCUCAAGUAUAACAUAUCAACUUAAAAUUUUACAAACUAAUAAAACCCAAACCUCAGCCUUCCUAUCCGUGAGUGUCAGGCUCAAGAAAUUCAAAGUCUGGAAAUGGAAAUUUUGCAAAGCAUGAGCACCUGAAAUGGAAAUUCCCAAACCUGCUUAAUAGGGCCUUCAAGAGAGGUGCUUCUUUCUUAAGGUGCAGUAUACUGCAGUGCUUGUCUUACAGCUAUGUUAAACAUUUCUCCUUACUCGUUUAUGCCAUUAAUGUGUAUUUUCUCGGAUAAUCUGCAUCCCAACAAUCAGAGCCACAGUCAGAAGAAUCUUCAAAUGACAAAAAAAAAAAAAUGUCAACUUGAAAAGCAGAAGGAGUCACAUCAAACAAUGGUGAGUGUGACCUGAGAGUUAGAGACUGGGACACAUUCAGCAGAACAUUGUGACAAGUCCCAGCAAGCUCAACACAAUGACAAAUACAAUUUGUUCCUUGUAAUCCACAUUGAUAUUAAUUUACAAGUUUUUUCAGGCUUACAUUGUACAUUGAUGAUUUUUUUUUUAAUGCAUAGAAAAACUUCAGCAUAUUUUCAGAGUCUGGAUUUGAAGAAGACAACAAACCCCAAAUUAUUUCCAUCAAAUACUUCCAUAUUCAUAUAAGGACAAAGUAAAAGUUUCCAUCUGAAUGUAGCUCAUACCUGAGUUCCUCAAAUUGUUCCCCAGGGUGUGUAAAGGUACCGCCUUUAGUGGCAGGUUUGGUGGCAUUCACCUGUGUACCACUUCAUAAUGGUUUAUGUUCUGCUGGCAACAGAAACAUGACACAGGUGGGUAGCUCUGCCUU